AUGCAUUAUCAAAACGCCGUGUUUAACAGUGGAGCACUUCUUUUCGGAAGUUGUACAUGUGAAAGUUGUACAUGGUUGUAUUAUUCACAAUUUAUUAUGGUGUAUGUUUGGUUUUACUUUGAAUUGAUUCAGGGUGAUUUUGAGGUGUUUGAUUUUUUAAAUGUAGAAUUGAUUCUGUUUUUAGAAUUGAUUUUACUUAAAGUUAGAAUUUAA